rnacentral:rRNA from 1 species
AACGAACGUUGGCGGCGUGGAUUAGGCAUGCAAGUCGUACGCGAAAGAGGGGGCAACUCCUCGAGUAAAGUGGCGAACGGGUGAGUAACGCGUAGGAAACCUGCCUUCGAGAUGGGGGAUAACACUCCUAACGGGGUGCUAAUACCGAAUGACACUGCGGGAUCGCAUGGUUCUGCAGUCAAAGGUGGCCUCUGCUUGCAAGCUACCACUCAAAGAUGGUCCUGCGUCCCAUAGCUAGUUGGCGGGGUAACGGCCCGACCAAGGCGACCGAUGGGUAGCCGAUCUGAGAGGAUGACCGGCCACACUGGGACUGAGACACGGCCCAGACUCCUACGGGAGGCAG